CGACCCCAGGUCAGGCGGGGCCACCCGCUGAGUUUAAGCAUAUCAAUAAGCGGAGGAAAAGAAACUAACAAGGAUUCCCCUAGUAACGGCGAGCGAAC
rnacentral:rRNA from 2 species